CUUUAAUGAAGUAAUGUACUCACAUAGGUUCUGUGGUACAUCUUAAAAACUUCCAGAACAGAUCACAUAACAAAGGCUUAAAACACUCAGAGAGGACAAUGCAUUGCCUGAGGAAAACCAGUCGGCUGAAACAUGGUGCGUUCUGAGUAUUUCUAAUAUUAUCUGUUCUGUUCUUUUUUGAAAAUGCACCACAGGUAAAUCACAGGAAUUUUCUUCAUUAAAUCUUUAUUUUUGAAUCGCCAAAGAAGCUCUCCCUACUUUUAUUUCGAAUGAUCAGCUCUUCUGCGCUCAUUUUUUUCUUUGGUUAGUUCCUUCAACAAAUUCUGAAGGAACGCGUUUCUACUCCAUAGUACAGUGAGGUAUACUUUCAUACCCUAAACCCAUUCUAUAGUAUCCUCAUUAUUCAGUAUCCAUGAAAUUAAAUGAACCCUCAAUGAUAAUGUAGAGAUUAAAUGUCUGACUGUCUAUCAACAAACCAUGCGGGUGAAUGAGUAAUAGAACCUUGUAGAUGUCCAGUCAAACUCACGAUCUUCCCUGGAGCACUAAUAUUACCCAACCUUCACCCUCAAUGAUUUCUUCCCUUGAAAUUAUAUUUAGUGCCAAACGCAUGCCUGCAUACCCCUUUAAUACGCUUCUAGUGUGUUCCUUGUGACCCAUGAACAGUGUAAAGCUGUGUUUAUCUGAUACUUUUCCCCAGAUCCCCAGACAGCUCUACACAACCAGACCCGACAAGCUAGUCUCUGAAAUGGUAGAUUUCCAUCACUGUAUACCACACAACGAGACGUGGCGACCACCGAAUGAGUACCGAACCUGUUGCCUGUUAAGGGCAUCAGAAAACGAAUGCUUUGAGGUAACUGUUCUUUGAUGGCUAAUUUCUUGGCACCAAGAUUCUUGGUUGCUUUGAACUUGAGCGGUGUACUCGAAAUAUAUCUUGUCUCUUGGAAAUUCACGUCAUGGCAGUGGACUCAUCAAUUACUGGAAUUACUGCAUACAUGGAGAAGUGUACCUGGAAUUACUGCAUACAUGGAGAAGUGUACCUAGGAUUGGAUGUUACUGGAAUUACUGCAUACAUGGAGAAGUGUACCUAGGAUUGGAUGUUACUGGAAUUACUGCAUACAUGGAGAAGUGUACCUAGGAUUGGAUGCAUAUUGCAGACGGUGUGUGGAUAUUACAUGCUGGACUAGAAGGUUGUGUUAAGGUAUACCCAUCUAUUUAUACACAAGAGUAUUUUCCUAACAUUGAGUUGCACCCACCCCUUUUUGCCAUCAGAACAGCCUCAAUUCGUCAGGGCAUGGACACUACAAGGUGUCGAAGGCAAUCCACAGGGAUACUGGCCCAUGUUGACUCCAAUGCUUCCCGCAGUUGUCUCAAGUUGGCUGAAUGUCCUUUGGGUUGUGGACCAUUCUUGAUACACACAGGAAACUAAUGAGCAUGAAAACCUCAGCAGCGUUGAAGUUCGAGACACAAACUGGCUCGCCUGGAACCUACUACCAUACCCUGUUCAAAGGCACUUAAAUAUUUUGUCUUGCCCAUUCACCCUCUGAAUGGCACACACACAUUCACAAUUUGUCUCAAGGCUUGAAAAUCCUUAUUUAACCUGUCUCCUCCCCUUCAUCUACACUGAUUGAAGUGGAUUUAACAAUUGCCAUCAAUUUGGAAUCAUAGUGUUCACCUGGAUUCACCUGGUCAGUCUAGGUCAUGGAGAGAGCAGAUGUUCGUAAUGUUUUGUAUAUUCAGUGUAUAUUGAAGGCUAGGAAUGUUUUUCAGAUACUGUAUAUCCUUGACAAAGGGUGUUUUUCUUUCCUCACAAUGAGGUAUUUAUUUACAAAUUGAUACACAUGGUGGUAUUAUGACCUUAGAUGAGAUAUUGCUUUAAUGUUAUUCUAACCUUUGUUCAGUGUCCCAAAAAAGAAAAUGAAUGUAAAUGUUAACGCUUUUUACUUCAUUCAUGUUGUUUAAAGCAGUAUUCCUGUGUGUUAUUUUAGCAUAGUGUUGUGUAGAUGCAAAAUGUAGCAAUACAUUGGUGGGGAGAAAGUCAGUACUACAGUAUACUGCUGUACGACACAUUUCCACCAAUCACGUGUGUUUUGAGAACAAGAUCAAAAACACACUUGGUGGCUUCCCCCCCACCCUUUUACAUUUAAUAUUGAAAAAUAAAGUAUUUUUCCUACAAUAUCUU